rnacentral:rRNA from 1 species
UACGUAGGUGGCAAGCGUUGUCCGGAAUCACUGGGCGUAAAGCGCGCGCAGGCGGCGAUCUACGUCUGGGGUGAAAGCCCCGGAGCUCAACUCCGGGACUGCCUUGGAUACGGGAUCGCUUGAGAAUUGGAGAGGCAAGGGGAAUUCCACGUGUAGCGGUGAAAUGCGUAGAUAUGUGGAGGAACACCUGUGGCGAAGGCGCCUUGCUGGCCAAUUUCUGACGCUGAGGCGCGAAAGCGUGGGGAGCAAACAGG